UACGUAGGCAGCGAGCGUUGUUCGGAAUUACUGGGCGUAAAGCGCACGUAGGCGGCUUUGUAAGUUAGAGGUGAAAGCCCGGGGCUCAACUCCGGAAUUGCCUUUAAGACUGCAUCGCUAGAAUUGUGGAGAGGUAAGUGGAAUUCCGAGUGUAGAGGUGAAAUUCGUAGAUAUUCGGAAGAACACCAGUGGCGAAGGCGACUUACUGGACACAUAUUGACGCUGAGGUGCGAAAGCGUGGGGAGCAACAGG
rnacentral:rRNA from 1 species